rnacentral:lncRNA from 1 species
AAGGAGGGGAAGGUGACGGCUCCCCGAGCAGAGCGGCCGCCAUCCCCUCAGCCAAGCACCCUCCAUGCCCGGCUGAGCCGAAGUGGCCGCCGCCCGCCACUAGAGGCUGCUCCACACCUCAUUAAAUAAACAGAAACCGCAAUUAACGCACGAGAUCCUGGACGGGAAGGCUUUGACCUCCCGCUUCCCACACGCGAGAAAGAUGCGGGACAUCGCCAGGAUCUGAUCCCCGCAAUGAGUUUGUGAUGUGCAGCGGCAGUUCUGCUCAGCACUCCCGGGGCCUUUGCCAGGCAGAGCCCUGCAGAAAACCCAUCUCCACAGGUGCCCCUUGCCCCCUCACGGGGAGGUUCGCAGAGGUUUUAUUUGUGAGUGCUGUGCCAGGCUUCAGACCGUUCCUCUUCCAGCCUUCUCCAUGUUUGUUUGCAUCAUGGGCUCCUUCCUCCCCACACAGCUUUGAAAAGAAAUGGACAAUGAAUGAAGGAGCUGGUUCUGGGGGACAGAGCUUUCUUACUCUGCGGUGCCUUUUGGUCUAUCACAAUCUUGAAGUGGGUAUCCAAUGUCUGGAUAAAUCUGCUGGAAAACAAUAG